rnacentral:rRNA from 1 species
CGAUGAGUAGAGUGGCGAACGGGUGAGUAACACGUGGGUGACCUACCUUCGAAUGGGGGAUAACGUCCCGAAAGGGACGCUAAUACCGCAUAACAUCCUGCUUUUGAACAGGUGGAGAUCAAAGCUGGGGAUCGCAAGACCCGGCACUUGGAGAGGGGCCCGCGUCUGAUUAGCUAGUUGGUGAGGUAACGGUCACCAAGGGUUACGAUCAGUAUCCGGCCUGAGAGGGCGGACGGACACACUGGGACUGAGACACGGGCCAGACUCCAUAACGGGAGGGCAGCAGUGGGAAAUUGUCCACAAUGGGCGCAAGCCUGAUGACGCAACGCCGCGUGGAGGAUGAAGGUCUUCGGAUCGUAAACUCCUGUUGCUCGGGACGAAAAGCUCCGACCUAACACGUCGGAGUCUGACGGUACCGGGUGAGGAAGCCCCGGCUAACUCUGUGCCAGCAGCCGCGGUAAUACAGAGGGGGCAAGCGUUGUUCGGAAUUACUGGGCGUAAAGGGCGCGUAGGCGGCCUGUUAAGUCGAACGUGAAAUCCCCGGGCUCAACCCGGGAACUGCGUCCGAUACUUGGCAGGCUUGAAUCCGGGAGAGGGAUGUGAAUUCCACGUGUAGCGGUGAAUGCGUAGAUUGUGGAGGAAUACCGAUGGCGAAGGCAGGCCUCCUGGGCCAACACUGACGCUCAUGCACGAAAGCGUGGGGAGCAAACGGAUUAGAUACCCUGGGUAGUCAGGCCUAAAUUAUGUCAAUAGUUGGUGGGGGGAGUUAAAUCCCUUAGUAACGCAAGUAAAGCGUGAAGUUGACCGCCUGGGGAGUACGGUCGCAGAUUUAACUCCAAGGGAUUGACGGGGGCCCGACAGGGG